rnacentral:rRNA from 1 species
UAACGACUCUGGCAACGGAUAUCUCGGCUCUCGCAUCGAUGAAGAACGUAGCGAAAUGCGAUACUUGGUGUGAAUUGCAGAAUCCCGUGAACCAUCGAGUCUUUGAACGCAAGUUGCGCCCGAAGCCUUCAGGCCAAGGGCACGUCUGCCUGGGCGUCACGCA